rnacentral:miRNA from 1 species
AGGAAGGAAGGAAGGAAGGAAGGAAGGAAAAGAGAAAGCCACUUUCUUUCCUUCCUUCCUUCCUUCCUUCCUUCCUUCCUUCCUUCCU